UACCUACUCUUGACAUCCAGAGAAGCUUGAAGAGAUUCGAGUGUGCCUUCGGGAACUCUGAGACAGGUGCUGCAUGGCUGUCGUCAGCUCGUGUUGUGAAAUGUUGGGUUAAGUCCCGCAACGAGCGCAACCCUUAUCCUUGUUUGCCAGCACUUCGGGUGGGAACUCCAGGGAGACUGCCGGUGAUAAACCGGAGGAAGGUGGGGACGACGUCAAGUCAUCAUGGCCCUUACGAGUAGGGCUACACACGUGCUACAAUGGCAUAUACAGAGGGCAGCAAGACCGCGAGGUGGAGCGAAUCCCAGAAAGUAUGUCGUAGUCCGGAUCGGAGUCUGCAACUCGACUCCGUGAAGUCGGAAUCGCUAGUAAUCGUGGAUCAGAAUGCCACGGUGAAUACGUUCCCGGGCCUUGUACACACCGCCCGUCACACCAUGGGAGUGGGCUGCACCAGAAGUAGAUAGCUUAACCUUCGGGAGGGCGUUUACCACGGUGUGGUUCAUGACUGGGGUGAAGUCGUAACAAGGUAGCCCUAGGGGAACCUGGGGCUGGAUCACCUCCUUACAAAAAAG
rnacentral:rRNA from 1 species